UCCAGCAGUAUCAGUUCCGACACACCAGGGCGAUUUGAACAGUCGCGCACGGGCUCUUCCGUUUGUCUGUUCACAAGCUUGACUCCGAACACUAGCAGGCCUGACCCCAUGGACACAACCCCCAGUGGCUCAACUCCAAGCACCAGCAGAUGUGAACCUUUGAUGGAUUUGAUCAAGCGCAAUGGCGUGGAGAAACUUCUGUGAUCUGCAUGGCUGACUUUUUGUCAUCUACUGUGACCACUGCAAUGUGGAUCUCUCCUCUAGUGAGUAUAUGCACAGUGUGUCAAAAAAGGAGCAGUGUUGUGCUACUGUGUCUCGUGAU